rnacentral:rRNA from 1 species
ACGGGAGGCAGCAGGAAGGAAUAUUGGGCAAUGGGGGAAACCCUGACCCAGCAACGCCGCGUGAAGGAAGAAGGCCUUCGGGUUGUAAACUUCUGUGACAGGGGACGAAGUAAGUGACGGUACCCUGAGAGGAAGCUCCGGCAAACUACGUGCCAGCAGCCGCGGUAAUACGUAGGGGGCGAGCGUUGUCCGGAAUUACUGGGCGUAAAGGGCGCGUAGGCGGCUCUUUAAGUUGUAUGUGAAAGACCAGGGCUUAACCUUGGGGUUGCAUACAAAACUGGGGAGCUUGAGUGUGGUAGAGGAUAGCGGAAUUCCUAGUGUAGCGGUGAAAUGCGUAGAUAUUAGGAGGAACACCAGUGGCGAAGGCGGCUAUCUGGGCCACAACUGACGCUGAGGCGCGAAAGCGUGGGGAGCAAACAGGAUUAGAUACCCUGGUA